UACGAAGGGGGCUAGCGUUGCUCGGAAUCACUGGGCGUAAAGGGUGCGUAGGCGGCUUUCUAAGUCAGGGGUGAAAUCCUGGAGCUCAACUCCAGAACUGCCUUUGAUACUGGAGAGCUUGAGUCCGGGAGAGGCGAGUGGAACUCCGAGUGUAGAGGUGAAAUUCGUAGAUAUUCGGAAGAACACCAGUGGCGAAGGCGGCUCACUGGCCCGGUACUGACGCUGAUGUGCGAAAGCGUGGGGAGCAAACAGG
rnacentral:rRNA from 1 species